rnacentral:rRNA from 1 species
GAUGAACGCUGGCGGCGUGCCUAUACCUGCAAGUCGAGCGAACGGACGAGAAGCUUUCUUUUCUGAUGUUAGCGGCGGACGGGUGAGUAACACGUGGAUAACCUACCUAUAAGACUGGGAUAACUUCGGGAAACCGGAGCUAAUACCGGAUAAUAUUUUGAACCGCAUGGUUCAAAAGUGAAAGACGGUCUUGCUGUCACUUAUAGAUGGAUCCGCGCUGCAUUAGCUAGUUGGUAAGGUAACGGCUUACCAAGGCAACGAUGCAUAGCCGACCUGAGAGGGUGAUCGGCCACACUGGAACUGAGACACGGUCCAGACUCCUACGGGAGGCAGCAGUAGGGAAUCUUCCGCAAUGGGCGAAAGCCUGACGGAGCAACGCCGCGUGAGUGAUGAAGGUCUUCGGAUCGUAAAACUCUGUUAUUAGGGAAGAACAUAUGUGUAAGUAACUGUGCACAUCUUGACGGUACCUAAUCAGAAAGCCACGGCUAACUACGUG